rnacentral:rRNA from 1 species
UCCCAGUUCGGACUGUAGUCUGCAACCCGACUACACGAAGCUGGAAUCGCUAGUAAUCGCGAAUCAGAAUGUCGCGGUGAAUACGUUCCCGGGUCUUGUACACACCGCCCGUCACACCAUGGGAGUCGGGAAUGCCCGAAGUCAGUGACCCAACCUUUGGAGGGAGCUGCCGAAGGCAGGUCUGAUAACUGGGGUGAAGUCGUAACAAGGUAUC